GUCUGUGUAGUUUAUAUAAAAUAUUACAUUGUGGUUGUGAGGAAGUUGACACCUAAGACA
rnacentral:tRNA from 1 species